UGGGAAAGGAGAGUAAAGGAAGUCUUCCUCCACGUUUGUUUGAGAGCAUGUUGGUGGAUCAAAGGCAUCCUAUAACAGGAUAACCUUCAGCUAAACCCAUUUUCCUCAGCUAAACCCAGAGUCCUGAGGAGAAUUUGAGAGCCCCACGACAGUGUUAAACCUGGUAGUUUCUACUUCAGAUAAAGGAUCAUAAUUAUUUUGGUGGGGGGUGGCCAGGGAGCAGGAAUUUGAGCAGUGUGGGCUUGGAGUGAGUUGAGAAAG